rnacentral:lncRNA from 1 species
GGAAAACACUGCCCUUGUCUCCAGCCACCCAACAGCUGCUCGAAGAUUUUCCCUGUUGUGGGAAUUGGAUUUGCACCCUCCAUCAGCAAGUUCCUGCUCAUCAUACCUGGCAACUACAGACAGCUGGCCAGCAGGGAAAGUACUGGGAGAAAAAGUUAAUAGCCUAGAAAGGAACCGAAGUCCGUCAACACAGCAGCCUCUCUAAUUGAGCUGAUAAGCCAUUGGCAGGGAUCAGCAAAACCUUUGGCAGGAUCAGAUGUUGGCAACUGAGGCUCUCAGAGAUUAAGUGAAACGUCAGAAGUUGGAGAGCUGAAAGUACAGAGAGAUGGUGAAUAUGGAAUUCCACUUAUGAAACAGGAAACAGAUUUAAGUUCUAAUAAAAAGAAAUUUUACUUGAGGUGGACUAGAAGGUUCUAAUAAAGCUCACCUAAAAUUUUCAUAAAGGAAAUUUUCCUAGAGGUGGAGUAGAAGGUCUUCCAUUCAUUUCAGCAAUUACCUCUCCUGAAGCCCCGAGUGUUGGUCUGAACAAGUUUGGACAGAGUUGUUUGCUGUAGUAUUAAGAAGAAUGAUGUGGAAGGUGAUUAUGAAGGGCAGGCCCCCAAUGAGAGGACUGGGUGCAGAGUCAAACGCAAGUUGAGAGGUUCCAGUGAGUCAAAGGAAAGCCUAAGCAAAUGUUGGC